ACAGCAGUAGCCACGGUAAUACAGAGGGUGCGAGCGUUAAUCGGAUUUACUGGGCGUAAAGCGUGCGUAGGCGGCUUCUUAAGUCGGAUGUGAAAUCCCUGAGCUUAACUUAGGAAUUGCAUUCGAUACUGGGAAGCUAGAGUAUGGGAGAGGAUGGUAGAAUUCCAGGUGUAGCGGUGAAAUGCGUAGAGAUCUGGAGGAAUACCGAUGGCGAAGGCAGCCAUCUGGCCUAAUACUGACGCUGAGGUACGAAAGCAUGGGGAGCAAACAGGAUUAGAUACCCGCGUAGUCCCUGUCUCUUAUAC
rnacentral:rRNA from 1 species